UUGUAAUAAAAUAGCUUGUGGGCUUAGAUGCACUUAAACCUACGUCUUAAAUGUGCAUCAGACCAUGAUAGAAAGAGUCCUUGUUUAUGAGCUGAAAAUGCUGCUAAGAAUUCCUUCCUAUACGUGACCAGGACUCCCAAGUAACUUGAAGAGAGUUGUGAUGCUGAAGACAACCUGUAGCUACAGAAUGUGGUUGCCUUUUCUGAUAAAGAAGAAAUUAUGGGACAAGACAAGAUUUCAGGAUAAACCUAAACCCUGACAAGAGAUACAAGUGCUAUGAAUGAAUAGGAGGCAUGGUGGAACACAUUUGCAUUCUAAGACACAACCCACAAUACAUCGAUCCGCACCUACAGCUCAAGGAGGAAGCGUAAGUAACGUCAGAUUUCUACCAUCGAGGAUUGGAUGUAAUCUCUGCCACGAACGCCACAACCGAAGUGGAAGGAGGAUGCAAUGCAUAUGCGUUCCAAUACACUUUGUUCUGUACCUUCAGUCUAUGAAGGAAGUGGAAAUCAUGCUGUAAUUUGUAGACUGAAGAAGGUCCAACAAUACCUCCACAGUAGUAGUAUCAUUAUCUACAGUAACAACAUAAUUUAACUUUGAUCACCAAGAAUGUAGUAGUAGUCAUAGUAUUUUCCUUAUUUAUUACAUCAUCAGCAGCAUCAUUUUACAA